rnacentral:snRNA from 1 species
CUCGCUUCUCGGCCUUUUGGCUAAGAUCAAGUGUAGUGUGUGUGCAGCACAUAAUUAACAUGGAAUUUACUGCCAUGGCAUAUGGUGGCAGAUGCUAACUUUUUAAAAGGAUUAGAUUAAUUCAUUUAUUUUUUUAAAAAAGACUCCCU